AGAAGUCAAAAUCCAGAAAAUCUUAACAACCCAGACCAGGUCCGGUUCCAUCAGAGCUCUAUUCAUCCAAGCCAUGGAAAAAGACAACACUCAGAGGUCACCACUACACCUUUUCUUUUUUGAGGGAAUAGGUCACGACUACUCACAAUCUAUACAGUAGUAUGGUUCAAUACAGUGAGGCGCCAAGCUUGAAACCCGUGGGAAAUACAUUACUCCAAGUCACAUAACAGCUUCCCCGCAAAAAAAAAAAAAAUCACAUAACAGCUAAAGUGCUAAACUCAACACGAGCAUCUACCUUCUUUAUUUUGCUGGCGAUGCAACAGAAGCUCCGGUUCAUCUUACGAUAACUAAAGAGUACAUCAUGUUGCCUUUUUCGCUGCCCACGUAAGUGGCAACGUUUUCUGAAGCAUGUUGACAUUGGCCGUCGGGUGAAUCUACGGUCUUUGCUGUCA
rnacentral:lncRNA from 1 species